UGCCAGACUCCUACGGGAGGCAGCAGUGGGGAAUAUUGCACAAUGGGGGGAACCCUGAUGCAGCGACGCCGCGUGGGUGAAGGAGCACCUCGGUGCGUAAAGCCCUGUCAGCAGGGAAGAAAAUGACGGUACCUGAAGAAGAAGCCCCGGCUAACUACGUGCCAGCAGCCGCGGUAAUACGUAGGGGGCGAGCGUUAUCCGGAUUCACUGGGUGUAAAGGGAGCGUAGACGGCCAUGCAAGCCAGGGGUGAAAGCCCGGGGCCCAACCCCGGGACUGCCCUUGGAACUGCAUGGCUGGAGUGCGGGAGGGGCAGGCGGAAUUCCUGGUGUAGCGGUGAAAUGCGUAGAUAUCAGGAGGAACACCGGCGGCGAAGGCGGCCUGCUGGACCGCAACUGACGUUGAGGCCCGAAAGCGUGGGGAGCAAACAGGAUUAGAUACCCGCGUA
rnacentral:rRNA from 1 species